AUUGAACGCUGGCGGCAGGCUUAACACAUGCAAGUCGAGCGAGCGGCGGACGGGUGAGUAAUGACUGGGAAACUGCCUGAUGGAGGGGGAUACCUACUGGAAACGGUAGCUAAUACCGCAUACCAUCAGAUGUGCCCAGAUGGGAUUAGCUAGUAGGUGGGGUAAUGGAUCACCUAGGCGAAGAUCCCUAGCUGGUCUGAGAGGAUGACCAGCCACAAUGGAACUGAGACACGGUCCAGACUCCGACGGGAGGCAGCAGUGGGGAAUAUUGCACAAGGGGCGCAAGCCUGAUGCAGCCAUGCCGCGUGUGUGAAGAAGGCCUUCGGGUUGUAAAGCACUUUCAGCGAGGAGGCGUUACUCGCAGAAGAAGCACCGGCUAACUCCGUGCCAGUCGCCGCGGUAAUUC
rnacentral:rRNA from 1 species